CGUGUAGCCGGGUCUGCAAGUCAGAUGUGAAAUCCAUGGGCUCAACCCAUGAACUGCAUUUGAAACUGUGGAUCUUGAGUAUCGGAGAGGUAAUCGGAAUUCCUAGUGUAGCGGUGAAAUGCGUAGAUAUUAGGAAGAACACCAGUGGCGAAGGCGGAUUACUGGACGACAACUGACGGUGAGGCGCGAAAGCGUGGGGAGCAAACAGGAUUAGAUACCCCCGUA
rnacentral:rRNA from 1 species